rnacentral:piRNA from 1 species
UCACUAUGUUGCCUAGGCUGGUCUUGA